UUGUUGGUAAGGUAAAAGCUUACCAAGGCUUCGAUCAGUAGCUGGUCUGAGAGGACGACCAGCCACACUGGGACUGAGACACGGCCCAGACUCCUACGGGAGGCAGCAGUGGGGGAUUUUGGACAAUGGGGGCAACCCUGAUCCAGCCAUGCCGCGUGAGUGAAGAAGGCCUUCGGGUUGUAAAGCUCUUUCAGCCGGAACGAAACGGUUACGGAUAACACCCGUGACUACUGACGGUACCGGAAGAAGAAGCACCGGCUAACUACGUGCCAGCAGCCGCGGUAAUACGUAGGGUGCGAGCGUUAAUCGGAAUUACUGGGCGUAAAGCGUGCGCAGGUGGUUUUGUAAGUCAGAUGUGAAAGCCCCGGGCUCAACCUGGGAACUGCGUUUGAAACUACAAGACUAGAGUGUGGCAGAGGGGGGUGGAAUUCCGCGUGUAGCAGUGAAAUGCGUAGAGAUGUGGAGGAACACCGAUGGCGAAGGCAGCCCCCUGGGUCAACACUGACGCUCAGGCACGAAAGCAUGGGGAGCAAACAGGAUUAGAUACCCUGGUAGUCCAUGCCCUAAACGAUGUCAACUAGUUGUCGGGCCUUUACGGGCUUGGUAACGUAGCUAACGCGUGAAGUUGACCGCCUGGGGAGUACGAUCGCAAGAUUAAAACUCAAAUGAAUUGACGGGGACCCGCACAAGCGGUGGAUUAUGUGGAUUAAUUCGAUGCAACGCGAAAAACCUUACCUACCCUUGACAUGUAUCGAAGCCCGCAGAAAAGCGGGGGUGCCCGAAAGGGAACGAUAACACAGGUGCUGCAUGGCUGUCGCCAGCUCGUGUCGUGAGAUGUUGGGUUAAGUCCCGCAACGAGCGCAACCCUUGUCAUUAAUUGCCAUCAUUUAGUUGGGCACUUUAAUGAGACUGCCGG
rnacentral:rRNA from 1 species